rnacentral:rRNA from 1 species
CACUUUCACAACGGAUCUCUUGGCUCUCGCAUCGAUGAAGAACGCAGCGAAUGCGAUAAGUAAUGUGAAUUGCAGAAUUCAGUGAAUCAUCGAAUCUUUGAACGCACCUUGCGCUCUUUGGUAUUCCGAAGAGCAUGCCUGUUUGAGUGUCA